UACGGGGGGGGCAAGCGUUGUUCGGAAUUACUGGGCGUAAAGGGCUCGUAGGCGGCCAACUAAGUCGGACGUGAAAUCCCCAGGCUCAACCUGGGAACUGCGUCCGAUACUGGAUGGCUUGAAUUCGGGAGAGGGAUGCAGAAUUCCAGGUGUGGCGGUGAAAUGCGUAGAUAUCUGGAGGAAUACCGGUGGCGAAGGCGGCAUCCUGGACCGACAUUGACGCUGAGGAGCGAAAGCUAGGGGAGCAAACGGG
rnacentral:rRNA from 1 species